rnacentral:misc_RNA from 1 species
ACUUGCAAGUAUCAUCCAUGAAGUGUCAUUGUCAAGUAGAUAAAGAAAGACGAUGAGCUGACAUAUAAAGCUCACAACAACAGAUUUUGCAGAGAGCCCUUCCAUCGACUUAUUUUUGUUCCAAAAUUGGAUAUCAUUCUUGAAUGCUAAGAAGUCAAAGACCGAAUGAAGUAAUGAAACAACCAUUGUGAUCACCAAGAGGUAUGGAUUUCCUUCCAAGAAGACCCUCUUCAGUUCAUCAGCCUCGCCUUCAAGCAUGCUUCCAUAAGUGCGAUGAAUCUGAAAUGAUUGAUCAAUCUGCAGGAAUAGUUGCCACUUUGUCAUGCUUAUAGGGCCCACCUCCAGAUUAAGUGGCAACUCCGUCACUGUCUCAUUGACUGGGAUCAGCUUAUCUCUAAGCAACCAAAAUUCAUUGAAGAAUAUGGUGGGGUAGUAAUUCCCUGUACUAGGCUCAACAUUCAAGUAAGGAGCAAUAUUUGGUGGUACAGAACUAUGUGGGUAUUUUGUCAUAUCAUCAACCAGAUUAAUUGUAACAUUAGGUUUCCAAUAUGAAACCCAUUCCACGGGGCCAACAUCUUUAGGAUCAACUUCAUUAUCACCAACAACCUGGGAGAUAAUUUCCCCCUCAUCAGAUCGUUUCGAGUUCCCCAACAGACUCCUCCUUUUGUCUGCCUUUGACUUGGGCAAGUACGUCACAACAGGAUAAGUCUUUCCAAAGGCAAAAAGAGGUUGGUACUCUGGAUCAUUUGGGUCUGGAGGAUACCCAGACCGUGCAAAGAAAACAUGGCCAUAAACAGUGCCAUUUUGCUUCACUGCCUCAGAUGGAUAGUAUUUCAUAGAAAGAGAU